rnacentral:rRNA from 2 species
AAACUUUUAACAACGGAUCUCUUGGUUCUGGCAUCGAUGAAGAACGCAGCGAAAUGCGAUAAGUAAUGUGAAUUGCAGAAUUCAGUGAAUCAUCGAAUCUUUGAACGCACAUUGCGCCCGCCAGCAUUCUGGCGGGCAUGC